rnacentral:rRNA from 1 species
GGAGGUUACUGCUAUCGGUGUUCGCCUAACCCAUGCAAGUCAUAUGUUCUUCGUGAACAUGGCGUACUGCUCAGUAACACGUGAAUAACCUGCCCUUGGGACCGGCAUAACCCCGGGAAACUGGGGAUAAUUCCGGAUACCGCAUAUAUGCUGGAAUGCUUUAUGCGUGAAAUGGAUUCGUCUGCCCAAGGAUGGGUCUGCGGCCUAUCAGGUAGUAGUGGGUGUAAUGUACCUACUACCCUACAACGGGUACGGGUUGUGAAAGCAAGAGCCCGGAAAUGGAUUCUGAAACAUGAAUCCAGGCCCUACGGGGCGCACCAC